GGGUCGGCUCUGCUGCAUUUAAAUGAAUGAAUUUUGUUCUCUGACUUUUUUGUACGUCUGCGUUCCUUAUAUUUCUCAGCUAGUGCUGAAACGCGACCCUCUGCUGCAUUGGGUAUUUUUCACAUCUAAGAUUUCUCCUCUUGGCUUUUAGGUGACAAUAUCAGGGAGUUCUUGCUGAGUCUUAGGUAUUUCCGAAUCUUCAUUGCCUUGUGGAAUGUCUUCAUGAUGUUCUGCAUGAUUGUGUUAUUUGGAUCUUGAAAGUCAUCCACAAACACGUCUGGUAACCUGGAAGAGACUUUUGGCUGCAAACAUAACUUUUCUAUCAAGUAAAAGAUUAUAAUGCUUUCCACGUACAGCCCUGCGAUUGUGGCAGGUUCUUCAGCCCGAGCUCCGUGGGGCAGCACAGCACACAGCCCCCCCCUGCUGCGUAACACUGGGGGUGUGCAGGGCUGCGUGCUGCAGGGCAGGGAGCCUCCCAGCCCCCGAGCCAAAGGCUUCGAAAUAAAAUAAUUUCAACUUCACUAGGAGGAGAGAGAGAGGA